GCAGGGGCAGCCUGGGCAGGAACAGCAAGUGUCUCUUCUCCCUCUGCUCCCUGCCCUCCACUCAGAGGUUACUGCCUCUUUGGAGUGGCACUUCCACCUGCCUGCAGCCACCCUUCAUUGGGCAGGAAUCCCAUCAGAUUUUACAAGCCAGGCCGGGUCAGAUCUGGUGAGCACGUGAAUGGAAAUGCCCAGGACAACAGGCACUUUCCCUUGGGAGACGGGGGAGCCAAGUCACGAGCUGGCCGUGCCAAGGCACCAACAGGAAAGCACCGAGCCUCGAGCCUCGCAGCAGCAGACCCCAGAGAGCCGCCACUGGAACUAGCCGGAACUUCCAAAGACAGUCCUCAGAGAAACACUUCAGUUCUGAUGACUCUCACGUCACUUCAUAUUGGAGUGCCAGGAAGCAAGUGAGCAAGUGGACGCAGCAGCUUGCCUUGGAAUCCUGAUGGCCAUACGGACACUAGUGAUUUUCCCAGCCCACCCCAGCUGCUUCACGAAGGAAAAAGGGAAUGAUGGAUGCAACUUUGCUUGGAAUAUUACAUUCUGAGAUGAACAGAUUUGAAUCUAGCAAAGGGAUCUCCACCAAAGAGUUCAAAGAUGACAAGAAAGUGAGGUUUUGGCAAGUCAAGUCACUGACGACUUGACACGAGACGUGGCUUCUGCGUGGAGAGGCCCAUCCCACCUUGAAGAUGCCGUGAGCUCCUGGGUUGUGAUUCCUCAUUAUUUCUACGAUUUAAGGGAAAGGAAACCAGCAUCUCUGAAGCUCUCCUCUGUGCCAGCUUAGGUAAGCUGGAACUAGAUUUCCCAGAAUCUCCUUCACUAUAUGUAUGGUUCCAGAAAAAAAUGCCACCAAAAGAGGAACUUGCAGGGGCUGUGGCAGGCCAAGGUGAAGCAGAAGCUGUCAUAUUCAGAAGUCAGGCUGGAUCAUAUAUGAUGGCUGACAGACACAGAGAGAGGUGCCCCAGUUCCCCGCUCUGCUCUCUGUCCUUGGCUCAGCACCCACCUCAUAUUCUGCAAUGCCGUGGUCCAGGCUCACUGCAGAUGUCUGGCUGCAGACCCAGAGGAGGUGGCCGCACGAAGGCAAGAGCCACCUCACCCACCACACCCACAGCACGUGUAAGGCUGAGGCAGCCGGCCAGAGAACACAGAGUGUCACGACUGGAGAAAAUCGUAAAAUUCCAAAGUUAUGACAGCACAAGGAAAAAAGCCAUUCUGUAUGAGAGCCUCGCCUGCAGGAGACACUCUCCCUGAGGACUUGGAGGAAACAGGCUUCGCAAAGACAGCAACAGGCAGAAUGUUCACUGCCCUUGAAAUUCAUAUGUUGAAAUCCUAAUCCCCAGUGUGAUGGUAUGGAGAGGGGACACCUCUGGGAAGGGAUUAGGCCACAAGGGUGGACCCCUCAGAAUGGCAUGUGUGCCCUUAUGAGACCCCAGAGAGAUUCCCUGCCUCUUCAGCCAUGUGAGGACGCGGCAAGGAGGUGCCACCUAUGAAUGGGAAAGGGGGCUCUCAACAGACACCAAAUCUGCUGGUGUCUUAAUCUUGGACUUCCCAGCCUUCAGAUCUGCUAGAAAUAAGUUUCUGUUGCUCAUAAUCCACCUUGUAUAUGGUUUUUUGGCUAUAGAAACCCAAAGGCACUGCCAGGUGCUGUGGUGCACACCUGUAAUCCCAGCAACCCAGGAGGCUAAGGCUGGGGGAUUGCAGGCUCAAAGUCAGUCUCAGCAACUUAGUGAAGCCCUAAGCAACUUACCGAGACCCUGUGUUGAAAUAAAAAACAAAAAGGGUUAGGGAUGUAGCUCAGGGGUUAAGUACCCCAGGUUCAAUCCCCAGUACCCAAAACCAAAAAACUCAAAUGGACUAAGACAAAUGCUAUUCACACCUGAUCUAGUUUUUAGAGUAAAUUGUGAGCAGAGGUAUUAGUUUUCAAAAGUUAGUAAUGAAGAUCCUAACAUAAAGGAGGUAUAGUCUGCAGGUAAUAGGAACUAUGAGCCCACAGAAAAGGGUCAACCAACUCCACACAACCAAGAUGAAAACCUGCACACCUGUAUAACUUCUAAACACCUAGCCUUACCUGAUUAAGGCUUUUUACCAAGCCCUUACUAAGGAGGAAUUCAGAAAACAGUAAUUGAACCCCAUUUUUAAAAAUUAUGCAUGUGUCUACUAUAGUAUAGUGAUUAAAUGCAUGAUUGCUGGGGCAGCUUUCCUGGGUCCAAAUCCUGAUCUUGCUAUGUCUGACCUGAGGGGGUAGCUCAGAUGCUCCCUGCCUGUUUCCUCAUCUCUAAGAUGAUGAUAAUUAUGGGACAGAUCUCAUAGGGAUGUUUUGAAGAUAAUUAAAUAAAAAUUACAGGAGACCAUUGUUUUGUACCAAACCCCUGCGUUGGACCCCAAGAGACCAGACUCCAAAUCAAAAUGGAGUCACUCAUAUUAAAAGUUCCAUGUCACCAAGAUGAAACUAAGUUGUGUUCUGGCCUUCAGAGAAAUCAGGAGCGAUAAGAGCCGAGUUUCCCAACUAGCCAGUUUCUGCCUUCAUCUUUGCAAAGAAGUAAACUGAUGUUCACCAAUCAGUGAUUUUUCUAUUGUCCUCUCCCUGUCCCAACCUUACAAGGAAAGUAUCUUUAAAAUAGCUGAUCUGCUGUUUGUACUUUCUUUCUUGUUGUUUUAGCCCUUCUCUAUAAAACCAACCCUCUUGUACUUAGCUCACUGGAAUAUUUAUUCUGUUUUGUGGAUUGGAGUGUUACUUGAUUGUAGAAUCACAAA